UAAUAAGUGUUUUAUGGCACUUUUUAAAUCCAUAUCCACCUUGUGUGCAAUGUCAGUCGAUCUUCUUCAUGGAGAUCGACCAAACAUCAACCUUUAUCUUUUAACAUCUUUGUCUGAAAAAUAUUAUGAAUAAACAAUUCAAAAUAC
rnacentral:misc_RNA from 1 species